GAUGAACGCUGGCGGCGUGCCUAAUACAUGCAAGUCGAGCGAACAGACGAGGAGCUUGCUCCUCUGACGUUAGCGGCGGACGGGUGAGUAACACGUGGAUAACCUACCUAUAAGACUGGGAUAACUUCGGGAAACCGGAGCUAAUACCGGAUAAUAUAUUGAACCGCAUGGUUCAAUAGUGAAAGACGGUUUUGCUGUCACUUAUAGAUGGAUCCGCGCCGCAUUAGCUAGUUGGUAAGGUAACGGCUUACCAAGGCAACGAUGCGUAGCCGACCUGAGAGGGUGAUCGGCCACCCUGGACCUGAGACACGGUCCAGCCCCCUACGGGAGGCAGCAGAGGGAAUCUUCCGCAAUGGGCGAAAGCCUGACGGAGCAACGCCGCGUGAGUGAUGAAGGUCUUCGGAUCGUAAAACUCUGUUAUUAGGGAAGAACAAAUGUGUAAGUAACUAUGCACGUCUUGACGGUACCUAAUCAGAAAGCCACGGCUAACUACGUG
rnacentral:rRNA from 1 species